ACAAAAAUUGGUCUCCUUAAUAUUUUCAGUCCAGAUUUGAUGUAUCAAAUGUCAAUAAAAAUGUCCAUUGACAGUAAGUUGAUAAGCUUGAAUGUUUAUUUACGAGAUCAUUUCAUUGUUUUAAAUCUUAUUAUCUUUUAAUAUUAAAAAAAAAUAUUCUUAAACUUUUGUGUGUGUAUAUUUGUGUAUCCAUAAAAAUAGCUAUUAAGGCGACCAGGGAAAAAAUCAUAAUUUUGGUCAAAAAUAGCUAUAUACUAAGCAUUUUUUAUUUGUUUUACUUUAUUUAAAGCCUAUUGUAUAUUAUCCCGAAGUUUCAUUCCAUAAAAAACAGAAAUAAGGAAAUUCGAUAUUUCGUGUACCAUCAGCAUCCAAAUUUUCAAGUAUACAGAAAUUUAACUUUCCGGAAUAUAACGGAAAUUUUCGGGUAUCUCCGUGGUACCAUCUCCGUGCAAUUAUGCAGUAUGGCGUUCAUCUCUUACGGAAAGAGAAUGGUAACUUGUUGCUGCUUGGGACAAUAAAGUUAAGUCAGCAACCGUCUACCAGACUGCAAGAUUCAUCUCUUCCAAAGGAUGUCGUACCUUUCCAGAUACACUGUGUUUUGUGUGGAUAAGAAAUGCAGAGUGGUACCACCAAUCACCUAAGCCACCAUUCCCCUAACAGACAAUAGGCUCAUGGGGACAGUUCCUGCAAAUUACAGAAAAGCUCUCAAUUGUAGCCCUACGAACAUCAGAUACUGCCGAUGGUGAAGCUUGGGUGCACCGGGCCGGUUUUCCAGCCGUGUGGAAUCAACAUCUCCAGCUGAACUGGGGCCGGGAAUUAUAUAAGACUCCUUAGCAGCAUGAGUGCCAGCCAGUCAUUGCUGUUCUUUGCAUUGCUGAGGAGGACAGUCCUGCCAACAUAACAGUUUGUUCAAUAACAGGAGACAAACAGAAACACAGAGGUGCUAUACAUUCUGAUGGAAAAACAAAAGCAUCUCCCAUCAUUUUGGCGUGGCUCAGAUCAAGAGGAGAA